AUGAGGUUAGCAAAAUCAAUGGGAUGCCCCCUUCACACCGAAUAUGAAGUAACUAGUGUAUGUGCUAAAGCAACUUCCGUUAACUUCUUCAAUAGACUGCAAAGCACAACGUUGCAAAGCUCACUUCUAGAACCCUAGUCACCAAUGACAGUGCACCACCAUAUUCCUUUGCUCACCAGUUGAAACAAACUACCGCCCUCGAGUCAGAAGGCUGUCCUCAUCGUCCAACACACAGCGGUAACAUCACCCCAGGACUUCAGCCCUCCGGUGAUACCUGGUUCAGCGAAGACUAGGCCUUGGGGAGUGUUUACGGCUCUGUCACCAAAACAGCAUUGUGGCAGAAGUAUGGAACACCAGCAUAUACAUGUAAUGUAUCGGGACCUUUACAGGAUAACUUCUUCAAUAGACUGCAAAGCGCAACGUUGCAAAGCUCACUUCUAGAACCCUAGUCACCAAUGACAGUGCACCACCAUAUCCCUUUGCUCACCAGUUCAAACAAACUACCACCCUCGAGUCAGAAGGCUGUCCUCAUCGUCCAACACACAGCGGUAACAUCACCCCAGGACUUCAGCCCUCCGGUGAUACCUGGUUCAGCAAAGACUAGGCCUUGGGGAGUGUUUACGGCUCUGUCAUCAUAACAGCAUUGUGGCAGAAGUAUGGAACACCAGCGUAUACAUGUUAACUUCUUCAGAUGACUGCAAAGCGCAACGUUACAAAGCUCACUUCUACAACCCUAGUCACCACUGACAGUGCACCACCAUAUCCCUUUGCUCACCAGUUGAAAGAAACUACCGCCCUCGAGUCAGAAGGCUGUCCUCAUCAUCCAACACACAGCGGUAACAUCACCCAAGGACUUCAGCCCUCCGGUGAUACCUGGUUCAGCAAAGACUAGGCCUUUGGGGGGUUUUUACGGCUCUGUCAUCAUAACAGCAUUGUGGCAGAAGAAUGGAACACCACCAUAUACAGGAUAACUUCUUCAGAUGACUGCAAAGCGCAACGUUGCAAAGCUCACUUCUACAACCCUAGUCACCAAUGACAGUGCACCACCAUAUCCCUAUGC